GACGAACGCUGGCGGCGUGCCUAAUACAUGCAGGUAGAACGCUGAAGGAGGAGCUUGCUUCUCUGGAUGAGUUGCGAACGGGUGAGUAACGCGUAGGUAACCUGCCUGGUAGCGGGGGAUAACUAUUGGAAACGAUAGCUAAUACCGCAUAAUAGUAGAUGUCGCAUGACAUUUGCUUAAAAGGUGCAAUUGCAUCACUACCAGAUGGACCUGCGUUGUAUUAGCUAGUUGGUGAGGUAACGGCUCACCAAGGCAACGAUACAUAGCCGACCUGAGAGGGUGAUCGGCCACACUGGGACUGAGACACGGCCCAGACUCCUACGGGAGGCAGCAGUAGGGAAUCUUCGGCAAUGGACGGAAGUCUGACCGAGCAACGCCGCGUGAGUGAAGAAGGUUUUCGGAUCGUAAAGCUCUGUUGUAAGAGAAGAACGAGUGUGAGAGUGGAAAGUUCACACUGUGACGGUAUCUUACCAGAAAGGGACGGCUAACUACGUG
rnacentral:rRNA from 1 species